rnacentral:rRNA from 1 species
GACGAACCACACAAACGUUAUUCGGAAUUACUGGGCUUAAAGGGUGCGUAGGCGGCGCGGAAAGUAGGGUGUGAAAUCCCUCGGCUUAACCGAGGAACAGCGCUCUAAACUACCGUGCUCGAGGGAGAUAGAGGUGAGCGGAACUUAGGGUGGAGCGGUGAAAUGCGUAGAUAUCUGGAGGAACACCGGUGGCGAAGGCGCCACUCUGGGCCGAAACUGACGCUGAGGAGCGAAAGCGUGGGUAGCAAACAGG